rnacentral:misc_RNA from 1 species
UGGGCGACUGGCUGCGUGAUGCGCUCAAUCCGCGUCUGCGUUGAGGCCGCGCCGGCCCGCACGACAUGGCAAAGCCGCUGCUCGAAGUGAGCCACCUGCGGGUGGAGUUUCCGACGCGGCGCGGCACGCUGGUGGCGCUGGACGACGUCUCGUUCACGAUCGAGCCGGGCGAGAUCCUCGGCGUGGUGGGCGAGUCGGGCGCCGGCAAAUCGCUCACCGGUGCCGCGAUCAUCGGGCUGCUCGAGCCGCCCGGGCGAAUCGCGGCCGGCGAGAUCCGUCUCGAAGGCGAACGCAUCGACAACCUGCCGCCCGAGCGCAUGCGCGCAGUGCGCGGGCGCCGCAUCGGUGCCAUCUUUCAGGAUCCGCUGACCUCGCUGAACCCGCUGUACACCGUGGGCUGGCAACUGAUGGAGACCAUCCAGACGCACCUGCCGGUGAGUGCCGCGCAAGCCCGCGAGCGCGCCAUCGCGCUGCUGAAGGAAACCGGCAUCCCGGCGGCCGAGCAGCGAUUCGAUCACUAUCCGCAUCAGUUCUCGGGCGGCAUGCGCCAGCGUGUGGUGAUCGCGCUGGCGCUGGCUGCCGAACCGCAGUUGAUCGUGGCCGACGAGCCGACCACGGCGCUGGACGUGUCGAUCCAGGCGCAGAUCAUCGCGCUGCUGAAGCGCCUGACCCGGCAACACGGCGCGGCGGUGAUGCUGGUCACCCACGACAUGGGUGUCAUCGCCGAGGCCUGCGACCGUGUGGUCGUGAUGUACGCCGGGCGCAUCGUCGAGGUGGGGCCGGUGCAGCAGGUGAUUCACCAGCCGUCCCACCCUUACACCACGGGUUUGAUGGGGUCGAUUCCGUCGAUGGACAUCGCGCGCGAGCGGCUGCUGCAGAUCGACGGGGCGAUGCCGCGCCUGACUGCGAUUCCCGAUGGCUGCGCGUUCCAUCCGCGUUGCCCGCAGGUGUUCGACCGCUGCCGGCGCGAGCGGCCUGACUUGAUGCCUGCCGGGGCCACCCAGGCCGCCUGCUGGUUGAUCGCCGGCGAGCAGGGCGCGCGAUGACCACGUUGGUCGAAGUCAUCGAUCUGGCCAAGGUGUUCGACGUGUCGGCACCCUGGCUGAAUCGGGUGCUCGAGCGCAAGCCGCGGCAAGCGGUGCACGCCGUCGAUGGCGUGAGCUUCAGCAUCACCAAGGGCCGCACGCUGGCGCUGGUCGGCGAGUCGGGCUGCGGCAAAAGCACCGUGGCUCGCAUGUUGGUGGGCUUGUACGCACCCACGCGCGGGUCGAUCCGCUUCGACGGCCAGGAUGCGCAGGCCACCUGGCGCGGCAGCGGUGGCCGCGCACUGCGCCGACGCAUCCAGAUGAUCUUCCAGGAUCCGUAUGCCAGCCUGAAUCCGCGCUGGGCCGUGCACGACAUCGUCGCCGAGCCGUUGCGCGAGCAUGCGCUGGCACGCGACGGCCCGGCCCUCGAUGAACGUGUGUCGGGGCUGCUGCGGCAGGUAGGGCUGGCGGCGGCCGAUCGCG